GCGGCGGGAGCGCGCUGAGCGGGUGCCCGGCAGGCGGACGCGCGCUCGCCCCUCCUCCCCUGUCUGUCCCGGGGUUGUGGCUCUGGCCGCGGGCGGGGUCUGAGGGGCCGCGGCGAGGGGAUCCCGGGGCUGCGAGUCUGGUUGCCGGUCGGUCGCUAGCACGGGCGAGCGGCACUCGGAGGCGGAACCCGCUCGAGUAGAGCCUGGUCCCUUGGGCAGAAGAAGGCUGCUGUGGGCGGGGGCCGCUCCGGCUCUUUCCCAGCUCGGCGGUGGCUGCGGCUCCGGUCUCCAUGUCGGACAACCAGAGCUGGAAUUCCUCCGGCUCCGAGGAGGACCCCGAGACUGAGCUCGGACUGCCUGUUGAGCUCUGCGGGGUGCUCAGCAAGUGGACCAACUACAUUCAUGGGUGGCAGGAUCGAUGGGUAGUUCUGAAAAGCAACACACUCAGUUAUUACAAGUCUGAAGAUGAAACAGAGUAUGGCUGCCGAGGCUCUAUCUGUCUGAGCAAGGCAGAGAUUACACCCCAUGACUUUGAUGAAUGCAGAUUUGAUAUCAGCGUGAAUGAUAGUGUUUGGUACCUCCGGGCUCAGGAUCCAGACCACAGACAACAAUGGGUAGAUGCAAUAGAACAACAUAAGACUGAAUCUGGCUAUGGAUCAGAGUCAAGUUUGCGACGUCAUGGCUCCAUGGUGUCUCUUGUCUCUGGAGCAAGUGGAUACUCUGCAACAUCCACCUCUUCAUUCAAGAAGGGCCAUAGCUUACGUGAGAAGCUUGCAGAAAUGGAAACCUUUAGAGACAUCUUGUGUAGACAAGUUGAUACUUUACAGAAAUACUUUGAUGCUUGUGCAGAUGCAGUUUCCAAAGAUGAACUCCAGAGAGAUAAAGUGGUAGAAGAUGAUGAAGACGAUUUCCCUACAGUACGUCCUGAUGGAGAUUUUGUACAUAACAGUAACAGCAGUAAGGAAAAACUGUUUCCACAUGUGACACCCAAAGGAAUUAAUGGCAUAGACUUUAAAGGAGAAGCUAUAACUUUCAAGGCAACUACUGCUGGAAUCCUUGCUACACUCUCUCAUUGUAUUGAACUCAUGGUAAAACGUGAAGAAAGCUGGCAAAAAAGGCUAGAUAAGGAGACAGAAAAAAGGAGAAGAAUUGAAGAAGCAUACAAAAAUGCUGUGACAGAACUGAAGAAAAAGUCCCACUUUGGAGGGCCAGACUAUGAGGAGGGUCCUAAUAGUCUGAUUAAUGAAGAAGAAUUCUUUGAUGCUGUUGAAGCUGCUCUUGACAGACAGGAUAAAAUGGAAGAACAGUCCCAAAGCGAAAAGGUUAGAUUACACUGGCCAACAUCCUUACCUUCUGGAGAUGCAUAUUCUGCUGUGGGGACUCAUCGAUUUGUGCAAACGCCCUAUAGUCGCUCUUCCUCCAUGUCUUCCAUUGAUCUAGUCAGUGCCUCUGAUGAUGUUCACAGAUUCAGCGCCCAGGUGGAAGAGAUGGUACAAAACCACAUGACAUAUUCCUUGCAAGAUGUAGGAGGAGAUGCCAAUUGGCAGCUAGUGGUAGAAGAAGGAGAAAUGAAGGUAUACAGACGAGAAGUGGAAGAGAACGGAAUAGUUCUAGAUCCUUUGAAAGCGACCCAUGCUGUUAAAGGGGUAACAGGGCAUGAAGUUUGCCACUACUUCUGGAAUGUUGAUGUUCGUAAUGACUGGGAAACAACAAUUGAAAAUUUCCAUGUUGUGGAAAAUUUAGCUGAUAACGCAAUCAUCAUUUACCAGACACAUAAGAGAGUGUGGCCAGCCUCUCAAAGGGAUGUGCUGUAUUUGUCUGCCAUCAGAAAGAUACCAGCAUUCAGUGAAAAUGAUCCAGAAACAUGGAUUGUGUGCAAUUUCUCUGUAGAACAUGACAGUGCUCCGCUGAACAAUCGCUGUGUCCGUGCCAAAAUAAAUAUAGCAAUGAUUUGUCAGACGUUAGUAAGCCCACCAGAGGGCAACAAGGAAAUAAGCAGGGACAACAUUCUGUGCAAGAUUACAUAUGUAGCUAAUGGGUGUUGCCUACGUGGCAGUUCUGCAGACAAAUGGCAUGAACCCAGGAGGAUGGGCACCAGCAUCAGUGUUACGGGCAGUGGCUAAACGAGAAUAUCCAAAGUUCUUAAAGCGUUUUACAUCAUACGUGCAAGAGAAGACAGCAGGAAAACCUAUUUUAUUCUAGUACUAGCAGCAAUCAGAACAAGACUGGGUGAGCAUUCCACAUUGGAGAAGUGACCAUGCACAGAGCACUCCAUGCUGGAACGAAGGAUCUACAGUCUUUUUAUGGCCCAGGUUCUAGGCUUUGUAUACUGAAGUGAAGAAGUGUUGCAACACCAUGGGGCUGAAUAUUUAACAAUAGCUCUCUACUGCUAACUUUCUUGCUGAAUCAGUGUGUAAUUAUAAAUACAUGUAUUGAUAACAUGUAUAUGGCUCUAUUUUUAUUUGCUUGCUUUAGAAGAAGAAAAGCGCAUACGACUUUGAAUCACCAACAUGGGCUACUGUGUUAAUUUUAAACAAGUUGUAGAAUUUCAUUGUCAACCUUCCUAAGAUACUUGUCCAGUUUUUGUGCAUGUGUAAAAAGCACAAGAGACAAAUGCACAUAUAGCAUACUGUAUGUGCUUUAUAUGCACAAAAAUCUGUGUGGUAUUUUGGGGUUGUUGAAAGGAGUGGCUUCAGUAAAACCUAGGUAACUUGUUGGCAGGUUUUGUUUUGCUUUCUAUAAUCACAGUUCUUUGCUGCUGGUUUCUAUAAUAAAUCAUCUUGUUACAUAAAAUGCCAGGUAAUAUCUGAGGGCUGUCAAUAUCCUUAUGACUUUGCCUUUUCUAUUGUCUUACUCUUAUGACGAUCUUUAGUUCUGAAGGAGUAAGAGUGUGAAAAGCUUUAUUUUUUCCAGAUAUCUUUAUAUUUCUAUUGUAUUUUUUAGUUAUGUAAUAUGUGCUGCAUAAUUUUUGUUAUUAAACAUGAUCCAGAAAUACCUAGAAAGAUUCUGUAUGAGAGGGCAAGAGACAGCCUAAAACCUAGGAGACAUCUGUCCAUGCUAUCUGUGGACUGCUUUCUUGGAUGAUAUCUGGGGCUUUCCCAAAGCAGUGAGAAGGUACACUAUAAUAUUUAUUGAAGUAAUUUGGAUUACAUAAAACAACAUUCCCAGUCUAGAUUGAGGAUGAGUACAUUAUUUUCAGAUCCUGCAUGUGUUUUCCUCAUCUCAAUAAAGCUGUGCUAUGAGGUUCAUGUAGAAAAUUAUUUUGCCUCUUGAUCAAAAACCCAUCAGAACUAUAAAAAUGUGUAGUUAUUACUGGAAAGUUCCCUUUAGCUGCUGUGAAAAUUUAAAUGUCAGAUGUUUGCCUGCCUUUGAUUCUGGAGAUAAUUGUUAAGAGAGGACUGUGUUGAGCUAGUACUGACUGUGAGGUCUUUUAUCCAUGUCCUAUAGUUGGAAACUCUUUCAGAGACUGCACAGUGUUUCACUAAACUGGGGAUCUUGAGGCAAGAAGUUGCAGAUAUAUUUUCUUUAAAAGAAAGCUGAAAGUCAAAUUUAUUAGAUAUAGUGUGCUAGGUGCCUGAAAAGAGAUAUAAUACAGUAACUUAGUGAAGAUUUGGUAAAUGAGUAAAUAUGAUUGAAAAAUGUUUCCGUUCAUCUUCUCUGUAGAGAUAAACCAUACCUAACACAUGAUUACACACGCAUGCAGAUUUCAAGCUCCAUAACUCUUCCCUUUUUAUUUGCCUUUCUCUAAUGGUAUGCAUGGAAUAUGCCUUAUUACAGAGUUAUUCUGUUUAUUUGAAUAUGUAGAAAAGUGCCUAUAUGGUAAUGUUAGCAAGGCAAAUAAGAUGAAAAUUUGUACAUCUUUACUAUAUCACCAGUGAGCAUUUAAUAUAUCGACAUUAAAAAACAAAAUCCUAUACCUCAAAAUGUACAUCAUCUUUUUACAAUCAACCAAGCAGUGGUACAUUCCACCAUAGCCACUGAUGGGAACGUAAAAAAAAAGUCCAAAAUAUAAAGAGUUUAACUCCUUAUUUGCCAUUUCUGGUAAUUGUUGGAACACGGGCAAGUUUAUUAAUUUAAUAGGAUAGCUUUAUUUUACAAAGGUAUGGAAAGUUUACAAAGCAGUAUAUAAACUUAUAUCAUUAGUUGCAUUUGCACUAAAUGUGAUGUACUUUUGCGAUUUAUUCUGUAAAUAAAAUGACACUACAGAUACUAUUUGUAAAGAGUAUGUUUUACUUUUAGAUAAAGGCACUGGUCCUUCACUGUAGCUAGCCCUGCCCAAUCAGAUUUGUAAGAGGCUUUUUAAAGACUAUGGAAGGAGUUAUGUGACUGAGAAAUCAUUAUUAAUGCACCUCUGAAAAAGUAAUCUCAAAAGGCAGUAGGCCUCUCUUAUUGUCCUUGUGUGAGUAGCCAUUAGAUCCUUUCUUCUGGAAGGGAUGUUGCUUUUAUGGUUUUUACCCUGUCUCUUGAGCCCAUCUCUCUUGUCAGUCACUGCCAGGUGUGUGCGCUCUGAGUUCAUUUCCUCCUUUUAACAGAUCAAGAGUGUUAACACAGCUGUGGUGGUCUUUGCAGAAGCAGCUUCUGACUCUAGAAUGGUUGUUUUGUAAGCUGAACCAGUUCAAAAGGCUGAAAAUGCAGCAAUCAUCAGAUACUGUUUUCUGGAUAUCUGCAUCUGUUUGGAGAAUUUGGAUGUUGCCAAACUAGAUCUGAAGGACAUGACUUGAUAGAACUUGUACUGGGAAUGAAGAUGAGAUGGUCAUCGUUAUUCUGUCUGAGAACCUGAAAAUCUUUGACAAAUUCAUCUGUGAAAAAUGUGAUGCACUUUGAAAAAAACCUUACCUUUUACUUAAUUGGGCUGAGCUGGCUUAUCUGAAGUUGUGCAGAUUCUGUUUAAUCAGAUUGUCCACCUGUAUUUUUGUCAAGUUGUACAGAUAAUGCUGUAUUUGAAUUGCCACUGUUCAUUUACAGACUUAAAACAUGAAUCAUAUUUUUGAGUACCUUGAGUGUGUAGAGUUGUAACUGUUCUAUAAUAGCUUUAUGAUCCUAAUGAUAAUUUUAAAAAUUAAAAGAAGUUGGCUCUUACAUGUUACAAUCAUAAAUUUAAAACCAGUAUUUAAAAUUUAAAAGUAUUAAAAAUUAUGAAGAAAAA